AUUGAACGCUGGCGGCAGGCCUAACACAUGCAAGUCGAGCGGAUGAAGGGAGCUUGCUCCUGGAUUCAGCGGCGGACGGGUGAGUAAUGCCUAGGAAUCUGCCUGGUAGUGGGGGACAACGUUUCGAAAGGAACGCUAAUACCGCAUACGUCCUACGGGAGAAAGCAGGGGACCUUCGGGCCUUGCGCUAUCAGAUGAGCCUAGGUCGGAUUAGCUAGUUGGUGAGGUAAUGGCUCACCAAGGCGACGAUCCGUAACUGGUCUGAGAGGAUGAUCAGUCACACUGGAACUGAGACACGGUCCAGACUCCUACGGGAGGCAGCAGUGGGGAAUAUUGGACAAUGGGCGAAGGCCUGAUCCAGCCAUGCCGCGUGUGUGAAGAAGGUCUUCGGAUUGUAAAGCACUUUAAGUUGGGAGGAAGGGUUGUAGAUUAAUACUCUGCAACUUUGACGUUACCGACAGAAUAAGCACCGGCUAACUCUGUGCCAGCCGCCGCGUAAAAC
rnacentral:rRNA from 1 species